rnacentral:lncRNA from 1 species
AACUAAUUUGACGCCACACAAUUCACAUAUACAUAAUUCAACACACAGUAUUCAAAUUUGCCAAUGGCAUGAGACAUAAACAUUGAGGUUCACAUCCAAGUAUACUUAUAUAUGACUUCAACCUAUCUAGGUACACAUAUAUGAGUCCAAAUCCGACCAUACAUCAUAAAAGCAACACAAAAGUGACGCUCAUCAUAUACAGGUUCACAUAUAUACUCCAAGUCUAUACAUACAUGCCAUGAGUAGCACAAGUGACUUUAGAAUCACACACAUGAGUGCAAGUCCACGCAACAUAACAUGAGCAGCACCAAGAACAUGUGUUGUCCGUAUUUCCAACUCCAGCGUUAGACUAUUUUGGCGUUUGGGACCAGCUACACAAAACAGCAGGCAGGACUAAAAAUGACAUGGCCAUGUGAGAGAUUACAACCAAGUAUAGGCACUGCAAAUAGCAAUAAGAAUAAAAUCAUAUAAGUAAUUAACUUUGAAGAAUAAAUAGAAUAAUAAGAGGUCUGGUGUUAGGAAUUAAGAAGCAACCGAUGCAACAAACGAGGAACGAUUAAUAAUGGGAUUGGUUAAAUCACCGUUAUGAUUUGAUUCUGGACAAUGCAUUGGUUAGUGCGCACACACAAAAUGAAUCUAGCCAAGUAUCACAUUCAAAACCAUGCUACGUUAUACCGUUGUAAAAACAGUAAGCCCUGAGGAUGACAAAUGACAAGGACAGGCCUCUAGAGAAACUUAGUUUUCAAUAUUAAAGCUAUAACUAAACAUUUGCUAUGGCGAAUUGAAACAAAUAUGCAUGAUUGGGUUUGAAGCCUGCAAGGGUAGGUUUUACUCAAUUUCUUAAAGCCACGAAUUGCUGGUACAAAUUAUGUUCGAAUGCUAGAUAUCUAAAUACAGUACAGGGAAUGAACUGUUCCAGAAAUUGAAUAUGUCAGGAGUAGUGCUAAGGGAAGGAGGCAGAUAUUUACCACUUUCCAGGGUUCAUCACUGUUGGAGUGCCA